AUAACAGUUACACUACUUACUAGAUGAAUUCAAAACGGUGAAUUAAUGAUAAUAUAUAGAUUAGUUCAUGAUUGUUUAUAUUGCGCAAUCAAAAUAAAUUGCGUGGUCAAUAUUUUUCUACACGUGAAGAAGCGGUUGGUUGAUGCCUUCAAAUCACAUAAUCUGGAGGUACCUCAAUCGAAAUGGAAAAAAUGCUUCGGAAAUUAGUCCAAGCGCAUGCAAAAGUGUAUUGAUCUCAAUGGAGACUAUUUGGUAAAACAAUAAAGCCAUAUCCAGUUAUAAA